UCUGCCUGUCUCCUGUCAUAUAGUUCUUCUGACAGGCAAGGUUUAUUAGCUUUUCCAACACUGCUCUCUCAGCAGCAUUUUUUUUUCCACCUGCUCAUAUCCCUCAGCCGCCUGGCUCUCUCACAGCUUCUGAUAUCUUUGUGUUCCCUAGAGGCUUUGUUUAGCUAAAACAGCUUCCUCCAGAAACCACUUCCAGCAAUUCCUUGCCCUUCCUCUCUCUGUGUUCGGUACAAUGUUGCAGAAGGAAAAAAAGUUAGCUUUGCUUUGUGUCAUCUUGCUUAGACAACACUGAGAGAAUGACUGACCCAAUACAGCUUUUGGACAGUCAUGGACCCACUUGGGAAGGGGAAUAUUGAAUAUCAUCCAUGACAGACACGCUCCUUUGGCUACGUUUAAAAAACAGAAUCAGCAAGGAGAUUAAAAACAACAGCCAAGGAUGAGAUCAAAU